rnacentral:rRNA from 1 species
GACGAACGCUGGCGGCGUGCCUAAUACAUGCAAGUCGAACGAGAGCGACCGGUGCUUGCACUGGUCAAUCUAGUGGCGAACGGGUGAGUAACACGUGGGUAACCUGCCCAUCAGAGGGGGAUAACAUCCGGAAACGGAUGCUAAAACCGCAUAGGUCUUCGAGCCGCAUGGCUUGAAGAGGAAAAGAGGCGCAAGCUUCUGCUGAUGGAUGGACCCGCGGUGCAUUAGCUAGUUGGUGAGGUAACGGCUCACCAAGGCCGUGAUGCAUAGCCGACCUGAGAGGGUGAUCGGCCACAUUGGGACUGAGACACGGCCCAAACUCCUACGGGAGGCAGCAGUAGGGAAUCUUCCGCAAAGGAUGCAAGUCUGACGGAGCAACGCCGCGUGAGUGAAGAAGGUUUUCGGAUCGUAAAACUCUGUUGUUAGAGAAGAACAAGUGCUAGAGUAACUGUUAGCGCCUUGACGGUAUCUAACCAGAAAGCCACGGCUAACUACGUG